rnacentral:rRNA from 1 species
AUGAACGCUAGCUACAGGCUUAACACAUGCAAGUCGAGGGGCAUCAGGAAGAAAGCUUGCUUUCUUUGCUGGCGACCGGCGCACGGGUGAGUAACACGUAUCCAACCUGCCCUUUACUCGGGGAUAGCCUUUCGAAAGAAAGAUUAAUACCCGAUGGCAUAAUGAUUCCGCAUGGUUUCAUUAUUAAAGGAUUCCGGUAAAGGAUGGGGAUGCGUUCCAUUAGGUUGUUGGUGAGGUAACGGCUCACCAAGCCUUCGAUGGAUAGGGGUUCUGAGAGGAAGGUCCCCCACAUUGGAACUGAGACACGGUCCAAACUCCUACGGGAGGCAGCAGUGAGGAAUAUUGGUCAAUGGGCGCUAGCCUGAACCAGCCAAGUAGCGUGAAGGAUGAAGGCUCUAUGGGUCGUAAACUUCUUUUAUAUAAGAAUAAAGUGCAGUAUGUAUACUGUUUUGUAUGUAUUAUAUGAAUAAGGAUCGGCUAACUCCGUGCCAGCAGCCGCGGUAAUACGGAGGAUCCGAGCGUUAUCCGGAUUUAUUGGGUUUAAAGGGAGCGUAGGUGGACUGGUAAGUCAGUUGUGAAAGUUUGCGGCUCAACCGUAAAAUUGCAGUUGAUACUGUCAGUCUUGAGUACAGUAGAGGUGGGCGGAAUUCGUGGUGUAGCGGUGAAAUGCUUAGAUAUCACGAAGAACUCCGAUUGCGAAGGCAGCUCACUGGACUGCAACUGACACUGAUGCUCGAAAGUGUGGGUAUCAAACAGGAUUAGAUACCCUGGUAGUCCACACAGUAAACGAUGAAUACUCGCUGUUUGCGAUAUACAGUAAGCGGCCAAGCGAAAGCAUUAAGUAUUCCACCUGGGGAGUACGCCGGCAACGGUGAAACUCAAAGGAAUUGACGGGGGCCCGCACAAGCGGAGGAACAUGUGGUUUAAUUCGAUGAUACGCGAGGAACCUUACCCGGGCUUAAAUUGCAGUGGAAUGAUGUGGAAACAUGUCAGUGAGCAAUCACCGCUGUGAAGGUGCUGCAUGGUUGUCGUCAGCUCGUGCUGUGAGGUGUCGGCUUAAGUGCCAUAACGAGCGCAACCCUUAUCUUCAGUUACUAACAGGUUAUGCUGAGGACUCUGGAGAGACUGCCGUCGUAAGAUGUGAGGAAGGUGGGGAUGACGUCAAAUCAGCACGGCCCUUACGUCCGGGGCUACACACGUGUUACAAUGGGGGGUACAGAAGGCAGCUAGCGGGUGACCGUAUGCUAAUCCCGAAAGCCUCUCUCAGUUCGGAUCGAAGUCUGCAACCCGACUUCGUGAAGCUGGAUUCGCUAGUAAUCGCGCAUCAGCCACGGCGCGGUGAAUACGUUCCCGGGCCUUGUACACACCGCCCGUCAAGCCAUGGGAGCCGGGGGUACCUGAAGUACGUAACCGCAAGGAUCGUCCUAGGGUAAAACUGGUGACUGGGGCU